rnacentral:rRNA from 1 species
AGUGAACGCUGGCGGUAGGCCUAACACAUGCAAGUCGAACGGCAGCACAGAGGAGCUUGCUCCUUGGGUGGCGAGUGGCGGACGGGUGAGGAAUACAUCGGAAUCUACUCUGUCGUGGGGGAUAACGUAGGGAAACUUACGCUAAUACCGCAUACGACCUACGGGUGAAAGCAGGGGAUCUUCGGACCUUGCGCGAUUGAAUGAGCCGAUGUCGGAUUAGCUAGUUGGCGGGGUAAAGGCCCACCAAGGCUACGAUCCGUAGCUGGUCUGAGAGGAUGAUCUGCCACACUGGAACUGAGACACGGUCCAGACUCCUACGGGAGGCAGCAGUGGGGAAUAUUGGACAAUGGGCGCAAGCCUGAUCCAGCCAUACCGCGUGGGUGAAGAAGGCCUUCGGGUUGUAAAGCCCUUUUGUUGGGAAAGAAGUCCAGCUGGCUAAUACCCGGUUGGGAUGACGGUACCCAAAGGAUAGGCACCGGCUAACUUCGUGCCAGCCGCCGCCGUAACAC